rnacentral:rRNA from 1 species
CCUACGGGCUGCUGCAGUGAGGAAUAUUGGUCAAUGGGCGCGAGCCUGAACCAGCCAAGUCGCGUGAGGGAAGACGGUCCUAUGGAUUGUAAACCUCUUUUGUCGGGGAGCAAAAGACGCCACGCGUGGCGUUCCGAGAUUACCCGAAGAAAAAGCAUCCGCUCACUCCGUGCCAGCAGCCGCGGUAAUAAGGAGGAUGCGAGCGUUAACCGGAUUUAUGGGGGUUAAAGGGUGCGCAGGGGGAAGAUCAAUGGAGCGGGAAAAUUGAGAGGCUCAACCUCUUCGAGCCGUUGAAACUGGUUUUCUGGAGUGAGUGAGAAGUAUGCGGAAUGCGUGGUGGAGCGGUGAAAUGCAUAGAUAUAACGCAGAACUCCGAUUGCGAAGGCAGCAUACCGGCGCUCAACUGACGCUCAUGCACGAAAGUGUGGGUAUCGAACAGGAUUAGAUACCCCUGUAGUC